rnacentral:rRNA from 1 species
UGGGGUAUAUUGCACAAUGGGGGAAACCCUGAUGCAGCGACGCCGCGUGAACGAAGAAGGUAUUCGUAUCGUAAAGUUCUGUCCUAUGGGAAGAUAAUGACAGUACCAUAGAGGAACGCUCCGGCUCAAUACGUGCCCGCAGCCGCUGUAAUACGUAUGGAGCGAGCUCUGUCCGGAAUUAUUGGGCGUAAAGGGUACGCAGGCGGUUUAAUAAGUCGAAUGUUAAAGAUCGGGGCUCAACCCCGUAAAGCAUUGGAAACUGAUAAACGAGAGUAGUGGAGAGGAAAGGGGAAUUCCUAGUGUAGUGGUGAAAUACGUAGAGAUUAGGAGGAAUAGCAGUAGCGAAGGCGACGUGCUGGGCACAAACUGACGCUGAGGUAAGAAAGCGUGGGGAGCAAACAGA